rnacentral:rRNA from 1 species
UACGAAGGGAGCUAGCGUUGUUCGGAAUCACUGGGCGUAAAGCGCACGUAGGCGGAUGUGUCAGUCAGGUGUGAAAUCCCGGAGCUCAACUUCGGAACUGCCUUUGAUACAGCACGUCUUGAGUCCGAUAGAGGUGGGUGGAAUUCCUAGUGUAGAGGUGAAAUUCGUAGAUAUUAGGAAGAACACCGGUGGCGAAGGCGGCCCACUGGAUCGGUACUGACGCUGAGGUGCGAAAGCGUGGGGAGCAAACAGG